rnacentral:rRNA from 1 species
GACGAACGCUGGCGGCGUGCUUAACACAUGCAAGUCGAACGGAAAGGCCCGGCUUUUGUUGGGGGCUCGAGGGGCGAACGGGGGAGUAACACGAGAGUAACCUGCCCUUGACUUUGGGAUAACUUCAGGAAACUGGGGCUAAUACCGCAUAUGAGCUCCUGCUGCAUAGGGUGGUUUGGAAAGUUUCGGCGGUUGGGGAUGGACUCGCGGCUUAUCAGCUUGUUGGUGGGGUAGUGGCUUACCAAGGCUUUGACGGGUAGCCGGCCUGAGAGGGUGACCGGCCACAUUGGGACUGAGAUACGGCCCAGACUCCUACGGGAGGCAGCAGUGGGGAAUAUUGCACAAUGGGCGGAAGCCUGAUGCAGCAACGCCGGGUGCGGGAUGAUGGACUUCGGGUUGUAAACAGCUUUCGACUGUGACGAAGCGUGAGUGACGGUAAUGGGUAAAGAAGCACCGGCUAACUACGUG